UGUGUAGGCGGAAUGAUAAGUCAGUGGUGAAAUCCUACAGCUUAACUGUAGAACUGCCAUUGAUACUGUUGUUCUUGAGUACAUUUGAAGUGGGCGGAAUGUGUCAUGUAGCGGUGAAAUGCAUAGAGAUGACACAGAACACCGAUCGCGAAGGCAGCUCACUAAACUGUAACUGACGCUGAGGCACGAAAGCGUGGGGAUCAAACAGGAUUAGAUACCCUGGUAGUCC
rnacentral:rRNA from 1 species